UGUGGAAGAUUUUUGGGUGUUUUAUCUUGGAUGGUAACUUAUUUUUGUAUGUUUAUAAGUUUGUGUUAUGUGAGUAUUGUGAAUUGUUAAUUACAGCAAAGUGCAGUAUUGCAUGUAGUUGUGUUUGUGACGGUGUUUUGUUGAUUAAAAUAUGUUCUUAAAUAUCUGUGAAGAAUAGCUUUAUGUGUUAAUUUUUGUGUUUUUGACGUGCAUGUUGUUGCAAAAUAUAAUUCUUGUGACCACUGCAAAAACUUGUAUUAUGUUACUAUAUAAUUGUAUAUUUUCAUUGCAAAAACUAACAACACUCAGAGUAGCUUCGAGCUGAUGUCCUAUUUUUAUUUUAUCCCGUAGUGUUUCUAAGUGUGGUUAGUUUUUGC
rnacentral:lncRNA from 1 species